UUCUUAUCAAGAGAGGUGGAGGGAAUGGCCCUAAGAAACCUCGGCAACAGGCCUAAAAAGGUACUGUGCUAAAUCCAGCAGGCGAAGCCUGAGAGAUAAGAA
rnacentral:ncRNA from 2 species